rnacentral:lncRNA from 1 species
CAAAGAGAUAAAUGUGGAUCUUUAUUUCCCCAUUAGGGUGGCAUGGGCACCCGCUGCCCCAUUUACCCCCGGCCCUCCUCAGCCCUGACUCCGCAGCCACACUCCCUCUGGGGCCGGGCACCCCUCUCUCCUGAAGCAAGUGCUCAGCCAGCUCACCUGUGCGCACCUGUGUCCCCCGCAAGCCAGGUCCAGACUUGGGCUCCAGCACCAAGGGGGCGUCCAUCAGCCUGGGACGUCAUCUCCACUCGGCCCCGAUGCCGGUGGCUCACAUGCGGUGGCAUCACUUUCGGGGUCACCGAGUCUGUGGGCCCCGGUGAAGGGGCCAUGCCCGUUCCCCGGCCUCUGCCGCAUGGCUCUGAGGCUGUGACCUCUCUCCUCGGGAACCCAAAACGACCUCUGGGGACAGGUGCGGGGCCAGCUUCCCAGGCUGUGGACUGGACAGUCCCCCAGGACAGCAAGAAAGCCAACGUGCCGGUGUUCACCUUGGACGCACAGCCUUUGGGUCGGCCGCUGUUUGUUUUCUCUGCUUGGAGCGUCAGGACGCGGACCUAUUUAGGGAAGGCGUUGCUUCCCAAAGAUGGAUAAUGACAGUAAUUACACCUGGCCUGUCCUGCGUCUUCCGGCCCCACGUCUGUCUUCAAUGAAGUAAAGAAGAAUUAAAAGCCAUUUUCUGGAAUGAAAGCAUUUUGUUGUUUUUCAUUAACUUCGGAAUCACCCAGGAAAGGUUUUCCCAAACAGGAUACAGCUGCCCGCCCGUCACAGGCUUCCUCUUCAGGUCCCGCUAUGACCCCCUGAGGCAGAGACGCAGAAGCCCACCGCACGUGGGGAGCCAGGCCGUCCAGUCCUCGUGCGAGGCCGGGCCGGGGUGCCUGCCGGCUGGUGGGCGUCAAGCGGGGGUCCCCUGCCCUCUGCUGGCCCCGUGCCGCCUGCAGCCUCCCGCUCAGGAGCGCCAGCCUGGGCACACCAGGAGCCCGCAAGGCCCUCUCGGCCGUGGGGCUGCUCUGAGGCGGCUGUGCUGGUUCCCAAGAGCCCCCCGAGGCUCUCGCCCCCCCAAAAUUCAGGAUGUGGUGGAUGGCAGGGGACGUCCCCUCUGUGCAUGUGGACCCUGUCUGGGGACCCCCACGGGGACUCAGGGCCAGGCCAGUGGGAGCCAAGGAUACAGGGCCUGGGACAAAGGUGAUCGGAGGACAGAGGACCCCUAGACGUGGGCCCCCCAGGCUCCCUGCUGCAGCCUUUGUGGGACAGGGUGCUGCACCCCCGGGAACGGAGGAAAACCAGUCCCCAGUCCUGCCGGGGUGGACACGGAUGGCCCCCUGUGUGCCCACACGUGCACCUGCACACAAAUACGCCCACGACAGACACACACGCCAGCCACACGCAUGCACACACACCACACACACUCACAGAGCACACGUCCCAGAGCCCGUACGCUGGUCCUGUGUAAGGGAAGUGAAAUGGCUCCCCUCCAACAACAACAUGAAAGAACGAAUCUUUGGACAGGAAGGAAACUGAGGCAGCCCAGGAGUCCGAGCCGGAGGAGGAGCGGGGCUUCCGUGAGCCAAGAGCAGGGGCGGCAGGGGCGUGC